rnacentral:SRP_RNA from 1 species
AAUCGGGAGCCGUUUAAUGAGUUAGUGCCUAACCCCGUCAGAUCCGGAAGGAAGCAGCGGUAAGUACAACCUCAUGUAAUCGGUUUCCCGGUUUUU